AUUGAACGCUGGCGGCAUGCCUUACACAUGCCAGUCGAACGGCAGCAUGAUCUAGCUUGCUAGAUUGAUGGCGAGUGGCGAACGGGUGAGUAAUACAUCGGAACGUGCCCUGUAGUGGGGGAUAACUAGUCGAAAGAUUAGCUAAUACCGCAUACGACCUGAGGGUGAAAGUGGGGGACCGCAAGGCCUCAUGCUAUAGGAGCGGCCGAUGUCUGAUUAGCUAGUUGGUGGGGUAAAGGCCCACCAAGGCGACGAUCAGUAGCUGGUCUGAGAGGACGAUCAGCCACACUGGGACUGAGACACGGCCCAGACUCCUACGGGAGGCAGCAGUGGGGAAUUUUGGACAAUGGGGGCAACCCUGAUCCAGCAAUGCCGCGUGUGUGAAGAAGGCCUUCGGGUUGUAAAGCACUUUUGUCCGGAAAGAAAUCGCACUUACUAAUAUUAGGUGUGGAUGACGGUACCGGAAGAAUAAGGACCGGCUAACUACGUG
rnacentral:rRNA from 1 species